rnacentral:rRNA from 1 species
AGGACGAACGCUGGCGGCGUGCUUAACACAUGCAAGUCGAGCGACAGCAUUCCUUCGGGGGUGUAUGGAGCGGCGAACGGGUGAGUAACACGUGGGUAAUCUGCCCUCAGCUCUGGGAUAACUCCGGGAAACCGGGGCUAAUACCGGAUAUGAUCACUUCGGGCAUCCGAUGGUGGUGGAAAGUUUUUCGGCUGAGGAUGGGCCCGCGGCCUAUCAGCUUGUUGGUGGGGUAAUGGCCUACCAAGGCGACGACGGGU